rnacentral:lncRNA from 1 species
UUUUGCAGUUUACGAUUUAUUAAUUUAGUGUCUAAUGAUUUUAAUUGAUCACUCUAAGUAUCAUAUGGUUUCUAUUUUUAUUUUUUCAUUACACUCUACGUUAACUUCUUCUUUAAACCCCUCGUGUGCCUCACACAUGCCUCGAUAAAAAAAAUAAAAGACACGAGACCUCUUAAAAAAGACAUAGGCCGUGUGGUGAAAAACGACAAUGAAAAAAUACUCUAUUUAUUUCCGUACAUACUAUUGCGUUCCGUAUAUUGCGGUUAGUCGGUUACGAUAUAUUUUCUGCGGUUCCAUCGGAGAACGCAGAAGCAUAUCCCUAUAUAUUAUUUUUCAACUCCAUUCUAUCUAAUAGCAUUAGAUCCAUCUCAAUAUCAAACUAAGUUAUAGAAUAUAAAAUCCCUUAGGACUUGAU